rnacentral:rRNA from 1 species
GUGCCAGCAGCCGCGGUAAUACCGGCAGUCCGAGUGAUGGCCGAUCUUAUUGGGCCUAAAGCGUCCGUAGCUGGCUGAACAAGUCCGUUGGGAAAUCUGUCCGCUUAACGGGCAGGCGUCCAGCGGAAACUGUUCAGCUUGGGACCGGAAGACCUGAGGGGUACGUCUGGGGUAGGAGUGAAAUCCUGUAAUCCUGGACGGACCGCCGGUGGCGAAAGCGCCUCAGGAGAACGGAUCCGACAGUGAGGGACGAAGGCCAGGGUCUCGAACC